UGGGGAAUUGUUCACAAUGGGCGCAAGCCUGAUGACGCAACGCCGCGUGGAGGAUGAAGAUCUUCGGGUCGUAAACUCCUUUCGAUCGAGACGAAUGGCUCCCGUGCUAAUCAACGGGAGAAUGACGGUACCGAGAGAAGAAGCCCCGGCUAACUCCGUGCCAGCAGCCGCGGUAAUACGGGGGGGGCAAGCGUUGUUCGGAAUUACUGGGCGUAAAGGGCUCGUAGGCGGCCAACUAAGUCAGACGUGAAAUCCCUCGGCUUAACCGGGGAACUGCGUCUGAUACUGGAUGGCUUGAGGUUGGGAGAGGGAUGCGGAAUUCCAGGUGUAGCGGUGAAAUGCGUAGAUAUCUGGAGGAACACCGGUGGCGAAGGCGGCAUCCUGGACCAAUUCUGACGCUGAGGAGCGAAAGCCAGGGGAGCAAACGG
rnacentral:rRNA from 1 species